rnacentral:rRNA from 1 species
AGAUUAAACUGAAGAGUUUGAUCCUGGCUCAGAUUGAACGCUAGCGGGAUGCUUUACACAUGCAAGUCGAACGGCAGCACGAGAGAGCUUGCUCUCUUGGUGGCGAGUGGCGGACGGGUGAGUAAUAUAUCGGAACGUGCCCAGUAGCGGGGGAUAACUACUCGAAAGAGUGGCUAAUACCGCAUACGCCCUACGGGGGAAAGGGGGGGAUUCUUCGGAACCUCUCACUAUUGGAGCGGCCGAUAUCGGAUUAGCUAGUUGGUGGGGUAAAGGCUCACCAAGGCAACGAUCCGUAGCUGGUUUGAGAGGACGACCAGCCACACUGGGACUGAGACACGGCCCAGACUCCUACGGGAGGCAGCAGUGGGGAAUUUUGGACAAUGGGGGAAACCCUGAUCCAGCCAUCCCGCGUGUAUGAUGAAGGCCUUCGGGUUGUAAAGUACUUUUGGCAGAGAAGAAAAGGUAUCCCCUAAUACGGGAUACUGCUGACGGUAUCUGCAGAAUAAGCACCGGCUAACUACGUGCCAGCAGCCGCGGUAAUACGUAGGGUGCAAGCGUUAAUCGGAAUUACUGGGCGUAAAGCGUGUGUAGGCGGUUCGGAAAGAAAGAUGUGAAAUCCCAGGGCUCAACCUUGGAACUGCAUUUUUAACUGCCGAGCUAGAGUAUGUCAGAGGGGGGUAGAAUUCCACGUGUAGCAGUGAAAUGCGUAGAUAUGUGGAGGAAUACCGAUGGCGAAGGCAGCCCCCUGGGAUAAUACUGACGCUCAGACACGAAAGCGUGGGGAGCAAACAGGAUUAGAUACCCUGGUAGUCCACGCCCUAAACGAUGUCAACUAGCUGUUGGGGCCGUUAGGCCUUAGUAGCGCAGCUAACGCGUGAAGUUGACCGCCUGGGGAGUACGGUCGCAAGAUUAAAACUCAAAGGAAUUGACGGGGACCCGCACAAGCGGUGGAUGAUGUGGAUUAAUUCGAUGCAACGCGAAAAACCUUACCUACCCUUGACAUGUCUGGAAUCCCGAAGAGAUUUGGGAGUGCUCGCAAGAGAACCGGAACACAGGUGCUGCAUGGCUGUCGUCAGCUCGUGUCGUGAGAUGUUGGGUUAAGUCCCGCAACGAGCGCAACCCUUGUCAUUAGUUGCUACGCAAGAGCACUCUAAUGAGACUGCCGGUGACAAACCGGAGGAAGGUGGGGAUGACGUCAAGUCCUCAUGGCCCUUAUGGGUAGGGCUUCACACGUCAUACAAUGGUCGGGACAGAGGGUCGCCAACCCGCGAGGGGGAGCCAAUCUCAGAAACCCGAUCGUAGUCCGGAUCGCAGUCUGCAACUCGACUGCGUGAAGUCGGAAUCGCUAGUAAUCGCGGAUCAGAAUGUCGCGGUGAAUACGUUCCCGGGUCUUGUACACACCGCCCGUCACACCAUGGGAGUGGGUUUCACCAGAAGUAGGUAGCCUAACCGUAAGGAGGGCGCUUACCACGGUGGGAUUCAUGACUGGGGUGAAGUCGUAACAAGGUAGCCGUAUCGGAAGGUGCGGCUGGAUCACCUCCUUU